AAUGAACGCUGGCGGCAGGCCUAACACAUGCAAGUCGAACGCCCCGCAAGGGGAGUGGCGCACGGGUGAGUAACGCGUGGGAAUAUGCCCUUCGGUUCGGAAUAACACAGGGAAACUUGUGCUAAUACCGGAUACGAUCUACGGAUGAAAGAUUCAUCGCCGAAGGAGUAGCCCGCGUAGGAUUAGCUAGUUGGUGAGGUAAUGGCUCACCAAGGCGACGAUCCUUAGCUGGUCUGAGAGGAUGAUCAGCCACACUGGGACUGAGACACGGCCCAGACCCCUACGGGAGGCAGCAGUGGGGAAUAUUGGACAAUGGGCGAAAGCCUGAUCCAGCCAUGCCGCGUGAGUGAUGAAGGCCUUAGGGUUGUAAAGCUCUUUCACCGAUGAAGAUAAUGACGGUAGUCGGAGAAGAAGCCCCGGCUAACUUCGUGCCAGCCGCCGCAGUAAGAC
rnacentral:rRNA from 1 species